rnacentral:rRNA from 3 species
UACGGAGGGUGCAAGCGUUAUCCGGAUUCACUGGGUUUAAAGGGUGCGUAGGUGGGUUGGUAAGUCAGUGGUGAAAUCUCCGAGCUUAACUUGGAAACUGCCAUUGAUACUAUCAGUCUUGAAUAUUGUGGAGGUCAGCGGAAUAUGUCAUGUAGCGGUGAAAUGCUUAGAUAUGACAUAGAACACCAAUUGCGAAGGCAGCUGGCUACACAUAUAUUGACACUGAGGCACGAAAGCGUGGGGAUCAAACAGG